GCGGCGGGAAGGCGCUAAGAACCGGUUCGGCGCGUCCGCCUGGGCCUGGCUGCUGUCCCGGGCCGCGGCGGGCUGGUCGGCCCCGGUUGCAGCCACGAAGUGACUGACGUGGCCUCUGGGGGGCGACGAGAGCUAUCGCUCCCCGCGUGGCGGAUCCGUUACGCGCCUUAAAUUAUUUAGUCAGGACGUUGUCGCGUGAGACGCUGCCUCCCGCUGGCUCGAACAAAAGAGGUUCCUGCCUCUGUCACAGUGGUGCAAGAACUGGAAUGGAGCUGCUGAUCCCUGGAGCGCAGUCUUUGUUUUAGAUUUGUUUUGCUCAAUUGUCAAGACUGUUUCUUCAUUUUAUCAGAAUAAUUACUAAUCCUGUCUUGAAUAACACAAGGAAAGGAAGAGUAAAGGAGCCCAAUGAGACACACUGGAAAGGAUAUGUUCUUAGGAUGGAGGCCUGUCCUUGAAAACAUGCAUAUGAAUCGACUGUUGCAAAAGGUGUUGCUGGGAGAACUAAUGCCUUGCUUUAAUAUUCUUCUAAUGCUGGAGAGCAAUAAGGGAACCCAUUUUACCGGACAAGUAAUGCAAAAAAUUUGGCCAGCCUUACAAAUAGAACCAAGGUGUCAUUGUGCCCAUCAUCCCUAAUCCAGUGGGGCUACAGAGAGGAGAAACUCCCAUUUUAAAACACAGUUGGCAAAAAAUUGUGCAGAGACUGGCCUAAAAUGUCAGGAUGUGUUACAUCUCCUAGUGAUGUAUACGUAAGAAGGAGUGUGAAUAGAAAAUCUGGGCUGUUGCCUCAUGAGAUUUUAGAGGGCAGACCCAUGUGACUGUCUCACCAAGCACUCCCUACUGUCAAGCAUAAAACUAACAGAUAAUGCUUUUCUGAAAUAUUGCCAGCUGUUAAUGAAAUGUUUAAGGACUUUCCACAGACCGCUGAAAGAUGUUUUACCAGAACCCACCACUGAAGUCUCUCAGUUGUGGAAAUCAGGAGACCGAGUCUACAUUUAGGUAUACCAAUGAGAACAUGUGCUUCAGCUACACUGGAAGGGACCUUAUUGGUUCUGGUAAUUACUAAUGCUGCAGUCAUGUGCAAGGGCCUGCUUGAUGGAUCCAUGCUCCCCAGGGUAAAAGGAUCGUACCAUCUUCAGCUACAACACCGAGCAUAUCACCUCUCACAGCAGAGCUGGAUAAACUUCCUUUGAUCAAAUGUCAACAGAAGUACAGACUUGGAUGAACCUGUUAUUAUCAUCUGAACCUGCUGAUUGUUUUUAGAAAUUGUAGCUCAGGGUUUCGCAUUUGGGUUUGUAUUAUUACUGAUCAUAUGUUAACCUGUAGGAAUUGUUAUGUGAUAAGAACUUAAGGAAUGAAAGAUUAUGAGGGGUAUGUGAGUCUAAGGCCCGUAAGAUAGCGUCUGUUCAUUGGACUGGCACUUGUGCAUUAAUGUGUUGGGUUUUUUUUCUUGGCCUUUCAGUACAACGAGACCUCUCCCAUAAGGACAGAUACAACUUAGCUCAGCAUACCAAACAACACAUAAAAUAUUCUGUGCAAAGUACUUGUUAUUUGGAAAACUGGCUUCCGCCAGUCUGUAUCAUAAUCAGAAUUAUAAAGGGCUAUUGUAAGUAUAUCUGCUGUAAUGGAAGAGAUGGGUAGUGCUAUUUCAGCCUUACAGUAAGAGGUACAACAGGCAUCUCAGCCCUGCAAAACAGAAUAACAUUUGAUUAUGUGCUUGUCACUCAAGGAAGGUACUUGGAUACUGGUUAACGCCACUUGCUGCACAGAUACAGACCAAGAUCAGACAAUAGAAAUGGACAAACAUAAAAUUCAAGUUAACAUUCGGAUACUGCAUGAAACAUGUGGUGAAAAAUCUUUUUGACUGGUGGGGUUGGCUCCCAAACUGGAAAGGAUGGUUAGAAAAAACUACCUAAGACAACACUGAGGUACAAUUUGUUGUGUUCAUUAACUUCAGUGUUUGUGCAUAUAUUAGUUCAUUUGAUUUUACAUUGUAGCCAAUUGGUAUGUAAAAAUGUAGAGCACAGCAAAAAGCAAGCAGAGGCCAGAACAAAAAUGCUGAAUAUGUUAGAGGAUAAGAAAGAAAAAAAAGAAGUGCUGCACUAAUGACGAUAAAUUAUUAAAAGCCUAAGGGCAGGAAUGGAUGAUGGGACAUUAAGGCCACAUGGUGAUCAAUCCCGGGGUCCCACAAGUCA